rnacentral:rRNA from 1 species
UACGUAGGGAGCAAGCGUUGUCCGGAAUCAUUGGGCGUAAAGCGCGCGUAGGUGGCCCCAUAAGUCCGCUGUGAAAGUCAAAGGCUCAACCUUUGAAAAGCCGGUGGAUACUGUGGGACUAGAGUACGGAAGAGGCGAGUGGAAUUCCUGGUGUAGCGGUGGAAUGCGCAGAUAGUCAGGAGGAACACCAAUAGCGAAGGCAGCUCGCUGGGACGUUACUGACACUAAGGCGCGAAAGCGUGGGGAGCGAACGAGGA